UACGUAGGCAGCAAGCGUUGUUCGGAGUUACUGGGCGUAAAGGGUGUGUAGGCGGAUCGUUAAGUGCCUUGUGAAAUCCCAUGGCUUAACCAUGGAACUGCUUGGCAUACUGGCGGUCUUGAGCCACUUAGGGGCAACCGGAACAAAUGGUGGAGCGGUGAAAUGCGUAGAUAUCAUUUGGAACGCCAAUGGUGAAAACAGGUUGCUGGGAGUGUGCUGACGCUGAGACACGAAAGCCAGGGGAGCGAACGGG
rnacentral:rRNA from 1 species